AUUCAGCACAGCUUGCUACUCUCGAGAGGAGGUACUAUGGAGUAUGACGAGGUCAUAAAAAAAUUUGGAAGUUUUGGAAACUAUCAGAAGCGAUUGUAUUUUGUGCUAUUUUUGCCAAUCAUUUUCAACUCCUUCAGUUCUCCAGUGACCAAUUUUCUUCUUGGGGAACAGCUUCACAGAUGUCGGGUUCCUGGCCUACCAAACGACACGUUUGAAAUCCAAAAUGAUUACCACAAAUAUUUGAUUAACUUAUCCAUACCCCUAAAGGCAGACGGUGACUAUGAACAAUGUCUGGUGGUCAAAAACGGUUCGCUGGAGAAAUGUACUGACUGGGUGUACGACCGUUCCAUGUUUACAAAUACUGUCAAUUCACAGUUUAACUUGGUCUGUGACCAGAAGUUGAUGCGGUCCCAUGCUGUCAUGGCGUAUUUCAUUGGAACAGUAGUAUCAACCGUCGUGUUCCUUCCAUUAGGUGACAUAGUGGGCCGCCGGUACAUGGUCUGUAUAAGCACAUCACUUACCUUCAUCGCCAAUAUUGCUAUGCCAUUCUCCACCAGUGUAUUCAUGUUUUCUGUUUGUCGAUUCUUCGAUGGUUUUUGCGGAAACUGUCUUUACAUGGCGUCUUUCAUUAUAGGCAAGUCCUUUUGGGUUUGUUUAACGGUAUAUUUUGUUAAAUGGAUUACUUAUAUGAUAGAGAUUUGUUUUCGAAAGUUUGGGUAAAAAUGUUUUGAUAAAGUAACUAUAAUGCAACUUUAUAACACAUUAAACAUUUGGCAGCUAUGGAGUUUGUCGGGCCAAAACAUCGCAUUAUAUCCGGUACUUGUAUCCUGUUAGUAUAUUGCUUAGGCGAGUAUAUUCUUCUCUUACUUGGAUACUUCAUUCGAGACUGGAAAUGGCUACAAUUCACACUGGCUGUUCCUAUGGUCAUUCCUUUAAUAUAUUGGUGGCCUAAGGUCUUGCCAGAAUCACCUCGUUGGUUGAUCUCCCGACAACGCUAUCGAGAGGCUCUGAAAAUUCUCCGAUACGCUGCCAAAGUAAACAAAGUCGAACUCGACGAAAGCAACUGCUCCAAUGUCAACGUUGGACACGAUGACGGGAUUCUGAAAAUUAUAAAGGAACUGAUCAGAACUCCAAAACUUGUGAUCCGGUCCUGCAUUAUGCUGAUGAAUUGGUUUGUUAUAUCGUUCAUCUACUACGGUCUUACCAUAAACGUGGGAAAGCUUGCUGGGAACUUGUACGUUAACUUCUUAGUUGGAGUGACUGUCGAAGGACUUGGUUAUCUUCUCUGUUUCGUGAUGAACAAGACGGGUAGAAAACCCCUGCACUUAACAGUGAUGUUUGGAAGCGGAUUUGGCUGUUUGCUAUCUAUUUUGCCUGCGCUGUUCUUAGAUUCAUCUUACACCUGGCUUUUGGUUGCAUUCGCUAUGAUCGGGAAGUUUGGAAUCUCGGCUGCUAUUGGUGAAAUCUACAUUUACACCGGAGAGCUGUUCCCUACUGUAGUUCGAAGUUUCAUUCUAGGCUUCUGUGGAGUUGGAGCGCGAGUCGGGGCAACACUUUCUCCAUAUAUAUACCAUUUAGCUGACGGAAGAUUUGGGGAAGCUCUUCCUUUGAUAAUAUUUGGAGGUUCAACCAUUAUCGUGGCAGCUCUGUCGAUUAAACUUCCGGAGACGAAGGGUCGUAAGCUCUUGGAAAAGGUCAAGGACGCAGAGCACAAGGACGACAUUAGCAGUGAUGAGUGCGAAAAAGAAAUGUUUUCAACUAAUGAGAAGCUUGAAUAUACGACCAGUGAAUCCUCACAGUUAUAAAAUGCUAAUUUUUUUUAUUUUAAAUAAGAAGCUUUAACUUAUGUGAACUU
rnacentral:misc_RNA from 1 species